rnacentral:lncRNA from 1 species
UGAAACCACAGUGACCCAGAUGUUGAGAGGCCUCAGUGCAGAAAUAGAAUGUACACAAAAGUCGCAUCAUACCCUGCCCACUGAUAGACGUCGGGGUCCAUGUUGAGUCCUGAGUAGGAGGCAGUUACAGGUAUCAAAGUAGGAGUGUGACUCAACUAGAAGAGGAGUGAAUGUCAACAAAAGGUUUGGAAAUCUCACUGGUGACUGGUCUUCUGAGCUGAUUCACGGACUGAGAAACCAAGCUGGUUAUUUGAUGGACGUUCCUUGUUCUGAGCAUGGGGAACUUAGUCUUUCAUUCAAUAUGAGAAGAGCAAGUGAGGCGCUGUCCAGGACUGCCCCAGGAAUUCAACCGGAGCUCUUGCUCAUGACUCCUUCAAGAGGGGACCACUCAUUGCAAAUGGGGACACUAAAAUUUUAAUCGCCCCGGGGUCUGUCAUAAGAACCUGUAGGUGGAUGGUGGGCUAUCUCUGGAACCUGGCUAUUUUCCUUAGUUGCACUUUUGAGUCUGAGAAAUUUGCAGGUCUUUUUCCUUAGCAAGCAAGUUAUUUUAAGAAAGGAAAAUGCACUCACCCAUUUAACAUUGUAGUUUAAGGUAAAACUUUUGUCUUUCAGCAGGUUGGGGUUUUGUGAUUUUUUUCACUUUACUUGUAGGGCAGCAUCUGCUCCCCAUUUAUUCACAGAGGUUCUUUCAGGGACUGGCUGGGCUAGGUAUUCCAUUCUUAGGUCAGCAAUGAUUUUACUAUUCUAAGAAGGCCUGAAAGGACAUUAUCUGAUGAUGUCCUUGGUGGCCCAGGCACAAUGAUUUGAAAACAUGCCCAUGGUUGUCCCUUUGCCUUCUUUAUCCAGACUGGAGUCCUUUCACAGCCCCAUCUGGAGCACUUGGCUCAGUGUUAGAGAAGGACAGAUUCCUAGCAGAUGGUUUAUCAGAGGACCUGGCACAUGGUUUGGCCAAGAAAACCUCGUUUAAUGCCUCUGAGUUUGGGAAGCUUUAGAGUGAAGAGUAGCUCCAAGCCUUCUGCACAACCAGGAAUGUUUUUGCUUAUUAGAUUUUUAAAACGAUGCUCACAGUAAAUAUCUAGACAGCAGCAGCUCUGGAGAUCUGGCACCACAGACGGUCC